rnacentral:misc_RNA from 1 species
GAAAUGCGAUAAGUAAUGGGAAUUGCAGAAUUCAGUGAAUCAUCGAAUCUUUGAACGCACUUUGCGCCCGCCAGUAUUCUGGCGGGCAUGCCUGUUCGAGCGUCAUUACAACCCUCAGGCCCCCGGGCCUGGCGUUGGGGAUCGGCGGAAGCCCCCUGCGGGCACAACGCCGUCCCCCAAAUACAGUGGCGGUCCCGCCGCAGCUUCCAUUGCGUAGUAGCUAACACCUCGCAACUGGAGAGCGGCGCGGCCACGCCGUAAAACACCCAACUUCUGAAUGUUGACCUCGAAUCAGGUAGGAAUACCCGCUGAACUUAAGC